rnacentral:ncRNA from 1 species
AUAACUAAUGGGCAAAACCAUACGAAAGAUGGUGACGCAAAACCUUGGAUCUAAGGUCAUAAAAUAUGGCUAUGAUUGCCAGGCUGCAAAU